AUUAGACUAUAAAAUUAUUCCACACAUAGGAGUGAUGCGAUUUAGUAACAUUUAAAUGAUAAAAACACUUAGUGUCCCCCGCGAUGGCUACCACCACGUACACUCGUUCGUCUCUACAACUCACAUCUAAUAGGUAGACGCCCUAGUUCCAAUUCUGAUGACUGAAUAUGCUAUAAAGGCUACCUGCAUUGACCAACCUCUGUUAACCUGAACUAUCACUGUUUACUUAUGCAUCUCUUAUACUUUAUCUUGUUGGCAUAACGAUUGUCUUGUACUACAAAUACCUUAAGGAUCUGCCAACCAACGCUCCCUGUUAAUUAUCAUUGUCAAAAUAUUACUUUUACUGAUUUCCUGACUAAACUGUCAAAU